CUAGCGGUAUACCUCCACAUCUCUCAACUAUACAUCUACCAAUAUUUACCAAGUCUGGUGAAGUAUUGGCCCAAUUAUCAUUUACAAAAUUACAGAUUUUCUUGGUAAAGAGUUCAAAACUGUUCUCUGAGUCUAGAGGUUGCAACUCGUGGAUUGAGAAAUCCCCUCCUAUGUAUCUGCCUACAUUACUAUUUCGAGAGGUCAUAAUUAUCCUACUGCCAAUUUUUGAAUCAGAUUCAGGAAGGACAAGUUUUAGAUCAUCCCAAAUUUCAACAUCCCAAAUGUCAUCUAAAAGGAUAACGUACCUUUUUAUUUUCAAGAGUGAUCUUAGGUUGUGUUCCAAGUUCUCUUUCCUUUCUUCUUCCGUCAGUCCAACUUGUUUGGCUAUGUUAAGCAAGAUUUCUCCCGCCCUUGGCUGCUGCGAGACAUAGACCAAUCCAGAACAUUCAAAUUGAUGACGGACGUGCCUAUAAAGUUUCUUGGCAAGAGUAGUUUUUCCCAAACCGGGCAUGCCAACUAUUGAAACAACUCCAUAAGGCAAAUCUUGAAGAAGCAAUUUGUGUUGGAGCUUGUUGAAGUCAUGAUCCAAACCGAUGACCUCUGUUUCAUCAUAAGCAUGAAGGAAUCGUCUUCUCCGGUCCAUUGGAAUGCAAUCAUCAUUAUUGUUACUUGUAUCUGUGAUGUUGUAAGUUGUCCUUACACGGUCAAUAUCAGCAACUCUUCUUUUUAUCUUCUCAAUCUCCAUAGCAAACUUAUUCGCAAAAUAAACAGUCUUAAGGCAACAAAUGAACUUAUUGGAUUGUUGAAUUUUUGGAAGGAACUCAUCUAAUAGAUCCUCCACAUCACCUGCCAGUUGUUGAAUAUCUUCUAAUAGGUUUUUGACCCUUGAAUCACCUCCAACUUCCUUUGCCUUUGCAUCGUCUACAUAUGAUCGAAUGUGUUUCAUUUCUCUUUGGAGCCAAUCGAUGUCCUCCUUCAACCAAUAUAAACGCGUACCUUCUUGCACGAGUAGAUUUGCAGCUAUUUCAACAGAUUUAUUGAUGACUGCUGUAAGAAGAAUAUCAGCCAUUUCUUUUUCAGUUAGCUACAAAAAAACUGAUCAGAAUGAUUAAUUAGGAAAAGAAGAUCAACUUAUACUGUAAAUAUUUGCUUUUGCUUUUUACUAAUAGCUGGAAUCCAUGGUAAGUCUCCUAAUAAUGUCAAGUAAAGGACACUAAUCAAAAAGACUCUCAUCUUACUGUGGACUCCAACAAUAAAGCAAAUAGUUGAUCACUUUACACUUAUUCCAUCAACUAUAUGAAUACACUCAUAUUUCAAAAAGAUAAUUAAUAAUUGAGAUAAUUAUUAAAAACCUACCCCACUCUAAAAAGUUUUAAGAUUAAAUUAUUGACAAUCUUAAAAAAAAAAACAAACACUUUUUUGCUUCACUAAUAAAACUUAUGCAACAUAAGUGAAAUAUACUCUUAAAAUUCUUGCUAAGUUUAGGAGUAUUUUCAAUACUCAUCUCGGUUUUUUAUUAAGAGCAUUAUGCUACUUCUACUAUUAGAAUUUGAGACCAUCUGCUAUGUCAUGUGACAGAUCGAAGACGUUUAAGUAGAGAUGUGUUUUUAAGACUGUCAAUAAUUAUAGAUAAAACUAAUAAUUUGCGGUAAGUUCAGAAUUAUUUACUAUCUCUAUUUUGCAUUUUCGUUCAUAAUUUAUUGAAUAAUUAUAGAUAAAACUACAUUCAUUAUUUAUUGAAUGUAGGGUCGUACUUCUUUAUCAUGACUUUGUUCAGUUACCAAUCUACUACCAACUCUAUUUUGCAUUUUUCGUUCUUCAAAAUUAACUACUUAUCUAUUUUCUUCAAACAUGUAGAAGAAAAUCAGGAGUGCAUAUUUAAUUUGAAGAAAAGAUUAAGCGAACAAACACCAUUAUUCAAAUAAGACCUCAGAUAAUUCUCCAUGGCAAAAUCAAGUGUUAUAUAAUGGCAUAAUGCUCUGCACUGUUUCUUACAACCUAGUGUUCUUGUUAUGUGUUCAAACAACUUUAUAAGAAACCAUUUUCUUUAGAAAUUUUUUCACUUCAUAUCAGAAGUUAUGAACUUAGCAGUAGUGUCCUAACACUAAUCCUCGCAUACCUACUGUUUCUUACAAUCAAGUUCGCCUAAACUAAACUUGUGUUGAAUCUCAGACCACAAUGAUAUAAGAAACGUAUAUGCAGCAGAAUUUAGAAAUAAGUUUAGUAACUAAUAAAAUAAACAAAAACUACUGCUAAUUCCUAAGGUAAAUAUAUACAUUAGACGAUAAAUAAAUAAACAUUACAUAUUUUACAAAUGAGAUGCGCAACAAAUACAUCAACUUGAAAAAACAAACGAACAUUUAAUUUAUUAAUUACAAAUACACAUAGGCUAUCAGAAGACAUAUAUAUAAGAUGCUCUUCACCAAAGACUUCAUCAUUCUAUAAUGCAUCUGCAAUUCAUUAGACAAACAAAUAUUAAGUUGAAGAAUUACAUACAGAUUAGAUAUUAAAAGUAAAUAUAACAAACUAACCUGUUGAUAGAUUAGUUAGAUUUUCAUAUUCUUAGCUUUGCGAGGCGUUCAGAGAGACUUAUUGGACUUUUUUAAUCUAGACAUACUGACAUCAUCACUGCACGUAAUUUCAAACAACUGAAUUGGAUGCUCAAUAUGCAAAACUUCAAUUUGUUUAGUUUUCUUAAUUUGGGCAAUUAUUUAAGCAAUGCCAGUAGGUGACCAUCUGCUAAAAAGCGGACGAGAGUAAGCUUAACAAGAUUUGGAGUGAAUGCUUCAGAGUGCAAGCGCAUUUUUAAAUGUCAAUAUUGGGAUACCCACUGAAGAUUCAGAUUCGCAAACCAGAAGAAAUAAAAGAUGAAAAGAAACACACAAAGAAUUAUCUGAGUUCACAGAAUCCAUUGUGGUUGAAGAUUAAUUCCUUCCAAGAUAAAAUGGAUUAACCAUUAAUCAAACUUAAAUAAUUUCAGCAAACUCAAAAUAACAGCAGUGAAUCACACACACAGAGAAAUGUAUGCAAAAGAACGAAAGAAUUCAAAUGGUGAAAAAUGAGAGACAACCUCUCUAUUUAUAGCCAACAAAGUAUAAAAGUCACAACUCUUAGGAAAGUAGACAACCUUCCAAAAAUGUCAUGAACACUUUGGAAAAGGCACAACCUUCAAACGGUCGCAAUCCUUUAGAGUGUUGGGUUAUCCCACAUCGGAAGUGGAAGGGGCUGGUGGUCAAUCUAUAAGUGUGAGGGAAAGCCUCAACCUUUGAGCUAGCUUUUGGGUUGAGAAGGCCCAAGACCACCCAAAACUGGUAUCAGAGCCAAGGUUUUAUCUGAGUAUGCUCUGUGGUUGCAGCACAGUCUGAACUUCCACAUCAGAAAAGAUUUACUUUGAUUUGCAAUAACUAUAUUUUUUGGGGAAAACAAUCGAAGCCAACACAAGUAGAAUGGUUACUUUGAAUGGUGUUAAUUAUGCCAUUUGGAAGAGGAAAAUGGAAGAUCUGCUUUAUGUCAAGAAUUUUUAUAAACCAGUAUUUACCACUGUAAAGCCUGAUAAUAUGACAGAUGAAGAGUGGAAUCUGUUGCAUAGACAGGUUUGUGGAUUCAUUAGGCAAUGGGUCGACGAUAAUGUGUUGAACCAUAUUUCUGGGGAAACACAUGCUCGAACCCUAUGGGAGCAUCUUGAAAGUUUGUAUGCUCGAAAGACUGGCAACAACAAAAUGUUCUUAAUAAAGCAAAUGUUGAGUUUGAAGUAUCAUGAUGGUUCUCCGAUGACAGACCAUCUGAAUAAUUUUCAGGGGAUAAUGAACCAAUUAUCUGUUAUGGGCAUCAAAUUUGAUGAAGAAAUUCAAGGCUUGCUUCUACUUGGUUCCCUACCAGAUUCAUGGGAAACAUUUAGAACGUCAUUGUCAAAUUCUGCUCCGGAUGGUGUGAUCUCUAUGGAUUCCGCCAAGAGUAGUGUCUUGAACGAAGAUAUGAGAAGAAAAACUCAAGGUUCCUCUUCGUCGGAUGUCCUGAUAACUGGCCCCAGGGGGAGAAAUAAAACUUGUAGUUCUCAGCAUAGAGAACAAAAUAAGAGCAAAUCCAAAGGCAGACUUAAGGAUAUUGAGUGCUAUCAUUGUGGCAUGAAAGGGCACACAAAGAAGUUCUGCAGGAAGUUGAAGAGGGAGAACCAAAACAAAGAGGAAACUAAAGAAGAUGGCAAUAAAAAUUGCUUAGCCACCGUCACCACCGAAGAUCUUGUUACCGUUCUUGAUGCAAACAUGAUAAAUAUUGCUUGUGAUGAGUCAAGCUGGGUUGUGGACACUGGUGCUGCAUCUCAUGUGACAUCAAGAAUGGAUUUUUCUCUUCCUACACUCCUGGUGAUUUUGGAACCUUGAGUAUGGGUAAUGAGACUGUUUCUAGGGUGGUUGGUAUUGGUACAAUUUUUUUGGAAACUAGUGUUGGAACUAAACUAGUUUUGAACAAUGUGAAACAUGCUCCUGAUGUUCGUCUACACCUAAUUUCUGUUGGUGUUUUAGAUGAUGAAGGAUAUGUUAGUACCAACGGUGAUGGAAAAUGGAAGCUCAUUAAGGGUUCCUUGGUUGUGGCUCGUGGUAACAAACGUCGUGGUCUAUACUGGACUACGGCCUCUUCUUGUGUUGAUAUGGUGAAUGCGGUUGAGAGCGAUAGCUCUUCAACAUUAUGGCACAAGAGGCUUAGCUACAUUAGCGAGAAAGGACUUAAUGUUCUAGCCAAGAAGAAAUUAUUGUCAAAUUUCCAAAGUGCUAAAUUAGAAAAAUGUGAGCACUGCUUGGCUGGUAAACAAAAUAGAGUUUCCUUUAAGUCCUACCCUCCUUCAAGAAAGACAGAGUUGCUUGAGUUAGUUCACUCUGAUUUAUGUGGUCCAAUGAAGACAAAGACAUUGGGUGGUGCACUUUACUUUGUCACUUUCAUUGAUGAUUGCUCGAGAAAACUUUGGGUCUAUGUCUUGAACACUAAAGACCAAGUGUUAGGUGUCUUUAAGCAGUUUCAGGCUUCAGUUGAAAGAGAAACUGGAAAGAAAUUGAAAUGUAUUCGUACUGAUAAUGGUGGUGAAUAUUUGGACCAUUUGACGAAUACUGCAAGCAUCAAGGUAUUAGACACCAGAAGACUCCUCCCAAGACUCCUCAGCUUAAUGGUUUGGCUGAGAGGAUGAACAGGACCUUGAUGGAAAGAGUUAGAUGUUUGCUUUCUGAAGCAAAGUUGCCAAACUCAUUUUGGGGUGAGGCUUUAUUGACCGCUGCACAUGUUAUUAAUCUUUCUCCUGUUGUUGCUUUGCAAAGUGAUGUACCAAAUAGUGUUUGGUAUGGAAAUGAUGUUUCCUAUGACCAUUUGAGAGUAUUUGGUUGCAAAGCUUUUGUACAUGUGCCGAAAGAUGAGAGGUCAAAAUUAGAUGCCAAGACAAGGCAAAGCAUCUUCAUUGGAUAUGGCCUAGAUGAAUUUGUAUACAGGCUAUAUGAUCCAAUUGAAAAGAAACUUGUGAGAAGCCGUGAUAUUAUUUUCAUGGAGAAUCAAACAAUUGAAGAUAUUGACAAAGCGGAGAAGGUAGAAUCUUCAAAUUUUGAUGGUAUAGUCCAUCAUGAUGAAGUUCCUCACACAAGUGUGCAUGAUGUUAUUGGGUUUGAUAAUCAUGGUGACGCCCAGAAUCAUGUAUCAAAUCAACAUGUUAAUGUUGAUAAUAACAAUGAUAUUGUUAUUGAUGAUCCUGUUGCUCAUGAAGUUGUGGAUGAAUCAAAUAUUCCGCUUCGGAGGUCCACAAGACAACGGUUUCCUUCCUCCCGUUAUUCAUCCAAUGAGUAUGUGUUACUCACUGACGGGGGAGAACCUGAAUGUUAUGAGGAGGUCAUGGAAGAUGAGCACAAGAAUCAAUGGAUUGAAGCCAUGCAAGACGAGAUGAAGUCUUUGCAUGAGAACCACACUUAUGAGUUGGUAAAAUUGCCCAAGGGCAUGAGAGCUUUGAAGAACAAGUGGGUGUUCAAAGUUAAAGUUGAAGAACACAACUUGAAGCCCAGGUACAAAGCUAGAUUGGUUGUUAAGGGAUUCGGUCAAAGGAAAUGUAUUGACUUUGACGAAAUAUUUUCUCCUGUUGUGAAAAUGUCCUCGAUUCGCACAGUUCUAGGUUUGGCUGCUAAUCUUAAUUUAGAGAUUGAGCAGAUGGAUGUGAAGACGGCUUUCCUUCACGGUGACCUAGAAGAAGAGAUUUAUAUGGAACAACCUGAGGGCUUCAAAGUAGAUGGUAAAGAAAAUUUUGUAUGCAAACUCAAAAAGAGUCUCUAUGGCCUAAAACAAGCUCCUAGACAAUGGUACAAAAAGUUUGAAUAUGUUAUGGGGGAGCAAGGCUAUAAGAAGACUUCUUCAGAUCAUUGCGUAUUUGUACAAAAAUUUUCUGAGAAAGAUUUUAUCAUCCUUUUGUUGUAUGUGGAUGACAUGUUGAUUGUGGGCAAAAAUACUUCCAAGAUUAACGAGCUAAAGAAAGAGUUGUGUAAGUCUUUUUCUAUGAAAGACUUGGGUCAUGCCAAGCAAAUUUUGGGCAUGAGAAUUACUCGUCUUAGAGAUAAAAGGAAGAUUUAUUUGUCCCAGAAGAAGUACAUUGAACGCGUACUGGAACGCUUCAAUAUGAAGAAUGCUAAGCCUGUUAGUAUACCUCUUGAUGGUCAUAUGAAGUUGAGCAAGAAGAUGUGUCCUACAGCUAGGGAGGAAAAAGAGAAUAUGGCCAAAGUUCCAUAUUCCUCCGUCGUCGAAAGUCUAAUGUAUGCAAUGGUGUGCACUAGACCUGAUAUUGCUCACGCAGUUGGUUUGUCAGUAGAUUUCUCGAAAAUCCGGGAAAAGAGCAUUGGGAAGCUGUGAAAUGAAUACUCAGGUAUCUUAGAGGAAGCUCAGAUGAAUGCUUGUGUUUUGGAGCAUCAAAUCCAAUCUUGAAAGGCUAUACAGAUUCUGAUAUGGCAGGUGACCUUGAUAACAGAAAAUCCACUACUGGAUAUUUGUUUACUUUUUCAGGGGGAGCUAUAUCAUGGCAGUCAAAGUUGCAGAAGUGUGUUGCACUAUCUACAACUGAAGCUGAGUAUAUUGCGGCUACUGAAGCCGGCAAGGAGAUGAUAUGGCUAAAGCAAUUUCUUCAAGAGCUUGGUUUGAAUCAGAUGGAGUAUAUUGUCUAUUGUGACAGUCAGAGUGCAAUAGACUUGAGCAAGAACUCCAUGUACCAUGCAAGAACAAAACACAUUGACGUCAGAUAUCAUUAGAUUCGUGAGAAAGUGGAGAAUGAAUCAUUUCACGUCAAAAAAAUUCACACAAGUGAAAAUCGUGCAGAUAUGCUGACAAAGAUGAUACCAAAAGACAAGUUCGAGUCAUGCAAAGAACUUGUGGGUAUGAGCUCUCUCUAAAGAAGUUGAAGAUACCUUGUUCCAGUAAAUGGGACUGGAGGGGGAGAUUUGUUGAAUCCAUCCCAUUGUUUUAGUCAACUUUAGUUAUUCAAUUGGUACAAACAAUUGUUAAAAAGGAAUAGUAAUUGGAGUUGAAAAGAAAAGAUUUGGUAGUUGGCAAAUUGGUAAGAUUUGCAACCAUUUUUGACUUUGCUAUGUUUACAUAUGUCAUUAGUGACAUAGGUAUGGUUUUAUCCUUCUAUAAAUAGAGCAUUCUUGCUCAUUUGUAGAACACACCAAGUUAGAGAAAAAAAAACCAUUUUGAGAGCAAAGUGAGGUAUUCCAUAGACUAUACAAGAAAAUAGUCUGUGAAGAAAAAUAGAGUGUGAGCGAUAUUUUUGUAAGACGGAAACCAAAAGAGUGUUGUUCCUUUUGAGUGUGUAGUAGUCACUUUGAGUGUUGUAUUCGUGACUACACAGUGUAAAAUUCCUUACUAUAGUAAUAUCAGUUGCUCCUCUUGGCCCGUGGUUUUUUCCCUUAUUCAGAAGGGUUUCCACGUAAAAUUCUUGGUGUCGUUAUUUUCUCAUUUUAUUUCCAUUACUUUUACCAUAUAUAUUUUUGUGCUUUUCGCGUUUUUCCAACAAACUGGUAUCAGAGCCCAGGUUAUCAACAAGUCUCAGCCCACCGGGAGGAACUGGGUUGUCGUUCUCUCUAGCCCAAGGCCCGAUGUGUGAAGGGGGAGAUUGUUGGGUUAUCCCACAUCGGAAGUGGAAGGGGCUGGUGGUCAAUCUAUAAGUGUGAGGGAAAGCCUCAACCUUUGAGCUAGCUUUUGGGUUGAGAAGGCCCAAGACCACCCAACAUAGAGAACAUAUAAUCUUUCAUAAAGUUCACAACCCUCCGGCAAAGUGACAACCCUUUAGGAGAGUUACAAUCCUUCAUUUGUUGGGAAAGACAAGGCACUAACAAAGAAUGUCUGACAGGAUAACAGCGGAAGAAUACCCAAGUCUAUACUUUCCCUUCUCGAUUUGAACCAAGAAAAGACAAACAACCACAAGCAAUAUGAUAGUAAGGCAGCAAGUAAUUCAACCAAACAAAUAUAACAAGACAAUAAUAAACCAAUCACACAAGACACCAAUUUCGCAGCUACUGUUUACGACAGCAAAACUGAAGUUGCAGGCCACCAAAUCCAACUCUGUCAGUUCCUAAUCAAAGAUUGAGAUGAAAAUAAUAUGCUGUCCAAAAAUCAGCUCAAUCGGACAAGAAACGAAGCGGGAAUCGCAAUUUGAAGUUGGCUGUUAGGGCUGAAUUUUGACUGCGAAAAUUGCUCUCUUUCUCUCUUUUUGGUUGCUAAAAAAACUCUCUGUGUAUAUGAAAAUAAGACCUAAAUAGGCUUAUAUUUGCCUCAUAAUAAUGGGCCUAUGGGCAAAAAUGAAUUGGUCCAAAUUGGACUUUUAUUUAUCCACAUAGGAAGCAAAAAAAACCAUAACCCAACAUCAUUUUCUGUUCACACCUUUAAAACUCAACAAAUGUCUCAAUUGUUUAAACUCCCAAACACCACAAGGAAGUUCAAUGAUGCUAUUACCAAUAUCUAGGGUCUCUAGACGUUUGAGCUUCACCGUGCAAUUUGACAGUUCACGUAAAUCUUCCCCUCGAAUAGCAGAUAGCGUAAGUAACUCAUGUUCCCGAUUUUGAAGUUAGGAUGAGUCAUUUGAGAAAAAAUGCAACUCUCUUUUGUGAAACAGAAAGGGUAAACAUACAUAAGACAAUAAAUGGUUGUAUUUUAAAAAUUAGUAGCGACAAAUACAUCAACUUGAAAAAGCAAAAAUCAAACAUUUAAUUUAAUGUUAUUUAUUGCAAAUUCAAACAGUCAUGGUCUCCAGCAAAGACUUGAAUCAUUCUGAAAUGCAUCUGCAAUUUAUUAGACAUAAAAUGAUUUAGUUCAUUAAUUAAAAAAAUUAGCUUAUUGAGAGAAAAUUGUAAAUAAUUAAGGUAGCAAACUAACCUGUUGAUGCAUUGAGAUUUUCAUACUCUCAGCUUUGUAAGACGUUCCGAGAGCCUAAUGUUGAACUUGGUAUGUUUCAGUAAUAACUUUUUCAAUUUAGGCAUACUCACAUCAUCUGUGCACUCUACUUCAGAUAACCCGAAUGGUUUUUGAAUAUGCAGAACUUCAAGUUGCAGAAAGCUAUCAUUAUCACCAGAGAGAUCCAUCUUUUCUUCCUUAUGUUGGCAGUAAAUCAUUUUAAGUAUUCUUAAUUUGGGCAAUUUCUUAAGCAAUGCUACUAAAUGACCUUCUACCUCAAUGCAGCUAAGAGUAAGCUUGACAAGAUUUGGAGGGAACGUUUCAGAGUUCAAAUGCUCGCUUCCAUUCAAAUGCAACUUAACAAUAUUUGGAAAGGGUGACAAGUUUAUUUGCUCACUCGAUUGAUACAAAAAUAUGAGCUUCAGAGCCUCCAACUCUUUUGGCAACGUUGAUAAUAUCUGAAUGGUAGAAUCAGAUACUCUCCAUAUACCCAGUUUUCUUAAGUUGAUCAACCGGUGAAAUAAUCUCGGUUCAACAAACUUAUCAUCCACACACAUCAAAGUUUGUAGAUUAGUAGGAGGCAAUGAGCAAAUGUUUCGGCUUAUAGAAAAGCAACAGUUAGAUUCUUGUAAAUUACCUUUACAACGAAGAUGUCUCAAUUGUGUAGACUCCCAAACACCAGUAGGAAGUAUUGCCCAGCUAUUUUCAAUAUUUAGGGUCUGCAUAUGUUUGACCAUACUAUUUGGCAGUUCCCCAUACAUAUGCCCCUCCAAUUGCAGAUAGCGUAAGCAACUCGUCUUCCCAAACGUUUUUGGGAUUCCUAUGUAACUUAAAAAAUAAUCAUAAGCUAUGACUACAACCAACACUUGCAAUAAUUUGAAGUCAUGACGAGCCAGUUGAGAAAAUAGGCAAGUAUCAUUUAUAAAACAGAAAAGUGCACGAAGUUUCUUAGGCUUAGGAUUUGAACGGAAGAAAUCAUUCAUGGCAUUAAUAUUAGAGUAGAAUGUAAUCCUUCGCACCCUAGAAACAUUGCCGGGAUCACCAAAUGCAUUGUGCUCGGUGUGAAAGAAGUUACUUUCCUUGCCCAACUCCACACACAAACUAUGUAACAAGUCAUGUAUGCGACAAGUUGAAAUUCUUCCAUCAUAUCUCCUUUUGGCAACUUGGAUCAAGUUUCUAGAAACCAAAUCAUUUAGGAAAUCCUCCGCCUUACUUUCAGCCUCUCGCGUAUUACCACUAUUUACAACUAUGAGCUUCUCAGCAAUCCACAUAUUUAUCAAAUCAAAAGCACGAAUUUCAUAGUCCUCGGGGAAAAGGCCAAAGUACAAGAAACAUGGCCUUAAUGCAAUAGGCAAAUCAUUGUAACUCAAAGCCAAUACCUUAGCACAUCCCUCUUGAAUUUUAUGAGUCAUACUGUCAAGUACUCUGUUCCAUGCAUGUUCUGUUCUUCCUCUUGCCCUUAACAUACCUGCAGUCACCACAAUCGCUAGCGGUAUACCUCCACAUCUCUCAACUAUACAUCUACCAAUAUUUACCAAGUCUGGUGAAGUAUUGGCCCAAUUAUCAUCAACAAAAUUACAGAUUUUCUUGGUAAAGAGUUCAAAACUGUUCUCCGAAUCUAGAGGUUGCAACACGUGGAUUGAGAAAUCCCCUCCUAUGUAUCUGCCUACAUUACUAUUUCGAGAGGUUAUAAUUAUCCUACUGCCAAUUUUUGAAUCAGAUUCAGGAAGGACGAGUUUUAGAUCAUCCCAAAUUUCAACAUCCCAAAUGUCAUCUAAAAGGAUAACGUACCUUUUUAUUUUCAAGAGUGAUCUUAGGUUGUGUUCCAAGUUCUC
rnacentral:lncRNA from 1 species